rnacentral:rRNA from 1 species
UACGUAGGGUGCAAGCGUUAAUCGGAAUUACUGGGCGUAAAGCGUGCGCAGGCGGUUUUUGUAAGUCAGAUGUGAAAUCCCCCCGCUUAACCUGGGAACUGCGUCUGAUACUGGACGGCUAGAGUAUGGGGAGAGGAACGUAGAAUUCCAGGUGUAGCGGUGAAAUGCGUAGAUAUCUGGAGGAAUACCGGUGGCGAAGGCGGCGUUCUGGACCAUUACUGACACUGAAUCGCGAAAGCUAGGGGAGCAAACGGG